rnacentral:lncRNA from 1 species
GGCUUAUAUGUUGGUUUUGGGUUUCGGGGCCCAAAGCGUUUUGGUCCACAAGGCCCAUUAUGUUUAAGUUGUAUGACAACUAAAACAAAAUGGGCAAAUUAGCCCAAUAACAAAGGAUGGCCGGCCAUUAGGGUGGAUGGGCAAAGUUUGCUUAAUUACAAGUUUGCCACUCACCAAAGAAAAGGUUAUAAAAGCAACUUUAUAGCUAUUUUCCUCAUUAGGGUUUUUCUUGUUUAAAUUGGGUGAAACAUUUUCUCCAUUUUCUUCUAAGGAGGCCGGCCACUAAGGGAAGGGACAUCUAGCAAUCUCUUCUUCCCUUAGUCAUCCAUUUCAUCUUCACAAGAUACAACCUUGGUGAAGAGACUUAGAGACAUCAAGCUUUUGGUGUUUUGGAGAACAAAUCCUUAUUUCCUCAAAUCUUCAAAGGAGCACUAAAGGGAGGAAAACACAAGGAGGAUUCAAGGAGCUUGGAGGUGACUUGAAGGCCCUCCACUUGGGUGAAUCCCUUGUGUAAUCAAGGAUGAGCUUCAAGGGUAAAGAAUCACUAAAUCUUUACUUAUCUUUAAUGUUGUUAAAGAGUUUAUUUUGGUUCACCAUAUACUAGGCUUUGAAAGUCAUGGGUUUUAUGAAUUGUUUUUGGAUGCAUGCCUACUUUAAAGUGUUAAUAGCUUGCAUGUGUAUUCAAAUACUCAUACUUGUUCUUAGCUAGGACAAAAUUUUUCCUUCAGAGGAUUCGGUUUGUAAUUGCAUGGCUAUUAAAAAGAGUUAUAAACAUGGAUGAAAGUUUGAUUGACUCUUUGGUUUAUGCUUGGUUGUAGGUAUAGUUUAUGAAUUCACAUGUAAUCACAAAAGAAAAAAAAUCAGUUUUUGUAACAUGCUUGAAGGAAGGAACUCAAACUAACGCUACAUCCUUGUGAGACUUGAGCCUAAACGUUAUUUGGAGAGUUAUUAAUCUGUGCAUUCUUGUUUUCUAAAGUCGUUGCAUGAUCUCAUCAUUCUUUGCUUGGUUGCUACUUAGAAUGCGUUUCAUCAUUAUAGAUCCAAAUACUAGAACUCAUGCCCGUUCCAUUCAAAGCAUGAUAUUGAGUGCAUAACACAUAUUCAAGAUGAAGUUGUUUAGUUACCACCAAAGCCAAAAAGCCUAUCCCUUUUGUCAUAUGUUUUAUAGGUUUAACCCCCUUUGAGCCUUCAUUAGCCUAUUCUCUUUGUUAACCACAUUGUCCCUACCUAGCCUAGAUUAGGACUGUCCACACCCUUGUUCUUAAAGAAUAGUGAAGCAUGACUUAAAGGGAAUUCCUUUUGAUUUUUGCAGAAAAAAAAGUGUGGGGGAAGGGUUUUCAAAGUGUGUUUUGUGUGCCAAAAGAAAGAAAAGGGCAUACAAAAAAAAGAAAAAAAAAAUUCGUGGAACAAAAAAGAAAAAGAAAAGUGUGUGAAAAGAAUGAAAAAGAGCUGAAAAAUAAGUGAGAAUGAACUCACAUGUGUUGGUUGUUGAAGAAAGGGUCCAAAAGUUUGAAUUUGACCCUAAGUGUUGCAUGAAUCUUCCCUUGUGUUUAAAAGUUUAUUUUUGCAUUCAAAAGUGAAUUCUAAGUGUGAAUUUCAUUACUUUGCUUACUAUUUCUUUAAGAACCUUUGUUUAUCCUUACCUUCCUUUGUUAGCCAAUACCCUUAGCCCCGUUACAACCCUUAGACUUCAAUCUUAAGUGUUGUGUAUUUCAAUAUGUGGAGUUUGGAAUUGGUAUGAGCAUAUGAUAUCACUGGUUCUUGCUUCUAAGUAGUAGCAUUCCGUUCAUGAGAUCAUAUAUAUAUACAUGCAUUAAUAAUUCUAGAAAAGUGCUUUCUUUGCUAUAACAUAUGUGAGUACUAGUUUUCAUGUUUACAUCAAUCUUCUCACAUAUACCUAGUGUAGGGUGUGUAGUCAGAAAAUCUGAGUGAAAAUUGAGUGCAUAUCUUGUAAGGAAUUGAGUGAUUUCUCUAAGGCAUGUUACUACAUUCAAAACAUCGUUUUAAUUGGUUAAUUGUGAACUAGUAAGUGGUGACUAUGAUUAAGUAUAUGCUCAAGUGUAAAGAUGACUCAAAUUUGUGGGAAUGAUGAUUUUUAACAUGUCAUGUGCAUUGGAAAUCCCUAAGACAAUUGUUGGAAGGUCUAGGUUGUGUUUUGUUUUGUUUUGUUUGUUUUGUUUUGCUCGAGGACUAGCAAAAGCUAAGUGUGGGGGAAUUUGAUAGGAGCAUAUUUAUGCAACUUAAUUAGCUUGUUUCCUUGCAUUUACGUUGCUAGUACUUAGUAAUUUUAGUAUUUUAAGCUAUUUUCAUGCAAUUUCAGGUUUUAAGGACAAAGUAUGCAUACAUGUGCAUUUUGGAGCCUUUUGGAACAGUUUUGGGCAUCAAAUGGAUUGCAUAUGCUUGGAGGUAAGAAGAUGGAUGAAAUUGAAGAUCAAAUGAGCAUAGGAUUGAAUGAUGAUGUGAAGAAUUGGAUUCAAGACAAAUAAAGAAUGAAGUGUUCAAAAUUGGAAGCCAAAGUUUCUAAAGUUGGAAGUUUCUAUUCUUGGAGGUUUCCAUUUGUGAAGGUUUCCAUCUUUGGCUCUAAACUUUCCUAAUCCUAAUUCACCUAUGUUCCAGCUGCAAGGAGGCUUCCUAAAUAUUUUAGGACACUUAAUAAAUGCUUCUAGAAGCCCUAAACCUUCCCUAAAGUCCAUGCCACACCAAAUCUGCAAGGAUCCUUCCUUGCCGCAAUUCCCUUUCCCUUUCUCUUCCAAAAUCUGCCACAUAUUCUCUUUCCCUUUCUCCCUUGCUUUGCCGCACCCCACAUUCCUUUUCCCCUCUUGAUUUCUGAUUUCCCUUAGCCUUUUUCUUAUGGAUUUGGGCUGAAAUUAUGUUUCCUUAAAUUAAUUAGGGUUAGGACUUUCCCAUCCCUAUAAAUGAACCCCUUUAUGCCGCAACUCUUCUCUUCUCUUCUAAUCAGCUAUUCCGCAUUCCACCCUUCACCAUAACCUACCUACAUCCAUCCACCACCACAAUUCACCCCAAAUCAUCACCAAACACCCUUGUGUCGCAGCAAAGAAGAAAGAAGGAGACCCUUGGACGUGCUUGCCAUUCAAGAUGUUGGAUUGUUAGAGCGUUUCUAGGUGUUUUCAUUCUUUGUUUUCAAUGUCUAAAUUUAUGUAUCUUUGUUUUGCGUUUAUGAGGAACUAAGCCCUUCUUAGUUAGGGGGUAAUUCGAAACCAUGUUCAUGCUUGCAAUAUGAAUUGAUUACUUUUGGUUGUGAUUUCAUAAGUUGUGAAUUCAAUUCGUUUAACUGCUUGAUUGAUAACGUAUUCGUGUAUGUUUGUUAAGAGUGCACGCUUAGUUUUCAUGCAUGAAUAUGAUGCUAGAAUAUAAGGGAGUUUCACCUAAUAGUUACAAACUUAUAUUCACAAGUAGUGGAGGUUGCUUAUAAACGAUCGCGUUAAAUGAAUUCUUGGCAUAAGUUUUAUGCUCAUCAUAGUAACGAGUGCCUCGUCAAUACUUAUAGUUCUCAUGUUGCUUAAUGAUCUUUGAUUGUAUCUUUAUUGUGCUUUUCACGUAAAGGACUUUUGAAGAAUGUGUUGAGUUGUUGUAUGCGCUUUCCCAUCCAAUUCAAUAACUUAAGGAGAACUUGAAGGUUAAUUUAAGCGGACCUAAUUAACCUGGGGUGUUGAGUUUCAUGAUUUAUUGAACGAACAACUGAAAAGUGGUUUGUAUGCAAGUGUGUCAUGUGUGGAGAAGAACCCUCUAGCUAGCCCAUCAUCCAUAGUUUGAUCCAAAUUCGUCUAGAAUCUGUUUUCAAUUUACAAUCUGUUUUGCAAGUUUAAUUUCGUCCAAAAUCAACCCCUCCUUAUUUCUUUGAGUCAUAUUAGUUAGAACUUGUCUUAGAUUAUGUUUUUGAGUGUUUUAAGUCAUUAGAAAACCAAAUUUCGUCCAAGUUUGUGUUAGUAUUCAAAACUGCCCAGAAAGUGUUUUUAAGGCAGUUUUGAGUGUUUUUGUGCUGUUUUGAGUCUUUUGGUUUGUUUUAGUGUUUUAGAGUUUAGUUUUGUAUUCUUUGAGGCUAGUUUAGUGUUUUAAACUUUGUUUUACAUAUUUGAGUCAGUUUAGAGUGUUUUAGCAAUCCUUCCUAAUCCCUGGUUUAAGAACGAUCCCUACUUAUCCAUACUACAAUUGUCAACAAGAGGGUUUAAUUUGUGUGUUUAGUUAUUUUACGCAUCAAAUUAUCAGAACCCCUACUCGAACUUGCAUGGUGGGAAUGACUUAACUAAGUGCAAUGGAGCCAACAUCAUAUCAUUGU